CCCGGGCCUUGUACACACCGCCCGUCACACCACGAGAGUUUGUAACACCCGAAGUCGGUGGGGUAACCUUUUGGAGCCAGCCGCCUAAGGUGGGACAGAUGAUUGGGGUGAAGUCGUAACAAGGUAGCCGUAUCGGAAGGUGCGGCUGGAUCACCUCCUUUCUAUGGAGA
rnacentral:rRNA from 1 species